ACUCGCUGUCUUUCUCUUCCAUGUGAAAACACAGCAAGAAGGCAGCCAUCUGUAGGGCAGGAAGAGAGCCCUCACCAGAACUUGACCAUGCUGGCACCCUGAUCUCAGACUUCUAGCCUCCAGAACUGUAAGACAUAAAUGUCUGUUGUUUAAGCCACCCAGUCUGUAGUAUUCUGUUAUAGAGCCCUGAGAAGACUAAGACAGGCAUUUAUAUUGUGAUGUUUUAGAUAUGCUACAUUGUUGGAUGUUUACUAGGGUGGGAGAGAAUAAAAUAGUAGGUUAUUGCCACAGGAAACCUGACUGAUGAAAUUUUUGGUAAUUUUCUUUCCAAGUUUGCUAAGGUCUUCUCAUCUUUGUAGUGAGGUGUCAAUGUCAAAGUUACAUAUCCUUUAAAAAAAUCUGCUUUAAAACUGGUCACUACUGAUUUUAUGACAUGAGGCACAAAUUGAAGAUCGAAGAGAUCAAUACCAGUUAAUAAUAUGUUAGGGGAACUUGCAAGGUCUCCAAUAACUUGAGUUGUCCGGAUGAAAUACAUCAGUGCUGGAGAAUAGUUGUUAAGAUAGAUGGGCUUGCUGUAUGCUAAAAUGUAGCACUAUUUUGUGCUUGUAAUUGAGAAUUAGAUCUUUGCUAGCAGUUUUAUUAGUGAUGUAUGAGUCAGAGGAGACUACAAUUCUCUUCUAAACCUAUACUAAAGAUACGAUGCUGACAGUAGGGGGAAAAGGCUUCAUCAGUAAAUAAAUACAAUGUAGACAUGAAGAAUUGAUGUAUAUGGUUAUAAUUGUACUCUAUUACUUUUACAAAGUCCUCUGGCCUACCCAUGCUUAAGAAAAUAUAAGACUAAAUGGCCCCUCGAAAAGGUAAAUUAAUUGACGUAUUGCUUUUCGAAAUUUAGACUCAACUGUUCCCUGCAGAAUAGUAGAUGUCCAAGUGCUCAGGACCACAUUUCUAACAAAAGAAAAAUAAAGGGAAUUCUAAUGCAUGUAUCAGUCAGGCAAUUGCAUGUAUUGCUUUUAUAUCCGAUUAAAUUUGUGAAAUGGUUUGUAGAGUACUUGUGGUAAUUCUUCAAUAUUGGGGUAAUGAGAAGAGCAUUUGGAGUUGAAAACCCUUCCUACAUAUUAAUGAUUCUAAGAUUUGUUGUUUAUUUAUUUUGAAUUUUCAUUUUUUUUUACCAUAGCACAGCAGCCAGAUAGGUUAAUAUUUGUUUGUUUUUUUUUAAAUUUUC
rnacentral:lncRNA from 1 species